rnacentral:rRNA from 1 species
UACGUAGGGUGCGAGCGUUGUCCGGAAUUAUUGGGCGUAAAGAGCUCGUAGGCGGUGUGUCGCGUCGGCCGUGAAAACCUGGGGCUCAACUCUGGGCGUGCGGUCGAUACGGGCAUCACUUGAGUUCGGCAGGGGAGACUGGAAUUCCUGGUGUGAGCGGUGAAAUGCGCAGAUAUCAGGAGGAACACCGGUGGCGAAGGCGGGUCUCUGGGCCGAUACUGACGCUGAGGAGCGAAAGCGUGGGGAGCGAACAGG